ensembl:snRNA
AAAAAGGGCUUCUGUCAUGAGUGGCCUAUGUAGGGCAACCAGACGGCUCUUCAUGCAAAAUUGACAUCAAGAGCUUUCAGAAGCAUAUUUCUUUUUUGGAAGUUGGGCAGCUGGUAAUCAUUGGUCUUGGCUCAUUA